rnacentral:rRNA from 1 species
GCCAUGCCGCGUGAAGGAUGAAGGCGUUCUGCGUUGUAAACUUCUUUUAUCUGGGAAGAAACCUACCUUUUCUAAGGUAGCCGACGGUACCAGAGGAAUAAGCACCGGCUAACUCCGUGCCAGCAGCCGCGGUAAUACGGAGGGUGCAAGCGUUAUCCGGAUUCACUGGGUUUAAAGGGUGUGUAGGCGGAUAUUUAAGUCCGAGGUGAAAUCUCUGAGCUCAACUCAGAAACUGCCUUGGAUACUAUUUAUCUUGAAUAUCGUUGAGGUAGGCGGAAUAUGUCAUGUAGCGGUGAAAUGCAUAGAUAUGACAUAGAACACCAAUUGCGAAGGCAGCUUGCUAAACGAUGAUUGACGCUGAGGCACGAAAGCGUGGGGAUCAAACAGGAUUAGAUACCCUGGUAGUCCACGCCCUAAACGAUGAUUACUCGACAUACGCGAUAUACAGUGUGUGUCUGAGCGAAAGCAUUAAGUAAUCCACCUGGGAAGUACGACCGCAAGGUUGAAACUCAAAG